GACGAACGCUGGCGGCGUGCUUAACACAUGCAAGUCGAACGGAGAUUUAGAAGAGCUUGCUCUUCGAAGAUCUUAGUGGCGGACGGGUGAGUAACGCGUGGGUAACCUGCCCUUAAGAGGGGGAUAACACCGCGAAAGUGGUGCUAAUACCGCAUGAAACUAUUGAGUAGCAUUACUUGAUAGUCAAAGGAGUAAUCCACUUAAGGAUGGACCCGCGUCUGAUUAGCUAGUUGGUGAGGUAGAGGCUCACCAAGGCGACGAUGCGUAGCCGACCUGAGAGGGUGAACGGCCACACUGGGACUGAGACACGGCCCAGACUCCUACGGGAGGCAGCAGUAGGGAAUCUUCGGCAAUGGACGAAAGUCUGACCGAGCAACGCCGCGUGAGUGAUGAAGGUUUUUGGAUCGUAAAACUCUGUUGCCAGGGAAGAAUGGCUAGGGGAGUAACUGCGCUUAGUUUGACGGUACCUG
rnacentral:rRNA from 1 species